AAUUUGCUUGUGAUUAAUGGGUAAUUUGCGUCUGAAAUUAUCAUUGAUGCUGGAUCACCUUGGAGACCUGAUGCCCUUU